UACGUAGGUGGCAAGCGUUGUUCGGAAUUAUUGGGCGUAAAGGGCGCGUAGGCGGUUUGCUAAGUCAGUUGUGAAAGCCCGGGGCUCAACCCCGGAGGGUCGGCUGAUACUGGUGGACUAGAGUACGGAAGAGGUAGCUGGAAUUCCCGGUGUAGCGGUGAAAUGCGUAGAUAUCGAGAGGAACACCUGCGGCGAAGGCGGGUUGCUGGGCUGAUACUGACGCUGAGGCGCGAAGCCAGGGAGCGAACGGG
rnacentral:rRNA from 1 species